AUUGAACGCUGGCGGAAUGCUUUACACAUGCAAGUCGAGCGGCAGCGCGGUCUUCGGACUGGCGGCGAGCGGCGAACGGGUGAGUAAUACAUCGGAACAUGCCCAGUCGUGGGGGGUAACACUUCGAAAGAAGUGCUAAUACCGCAUACGUCCUGAGGGAGAAAGCGGGGGAUCGCAAGACCUCGCGCGAUUGGAGUGGCCGAUGUCAGAUUAGCUAGUUGGUGGGGUAAAGGCCUACCAAGGGAACGAUCUGUAGCUGGUCUGGGAGGAUGAACAGCCACACUGGGACUGAGACACGGCCCAGACUGCUACGGGAGGCAGCAGUGGGGAAUUUUGGACAAUGGGGGCAACCCUGAUCCAGCCAUUCCGCGUGAGUGAAGAAGGCCUUCGGGUUGUAAAGCUCUUUCGGCAGGAACGAAACGGCGAGCUCUAACAUAGCUCGCUAAUGACGGUACCUGAAGAAGAAGCACCGGCUAACUACGUGCCAGCCGCCGCCGUAAUAC
rnacentral:rRNA from 1 species